UACGGAGGGUGCGAGCGUUGUCCGGAAUCACUGGGCGUAAAGGGCGCGUAGGCGGCCUGAUAAGUAGGGGGUGAAAUCCUGCGGCUUAACCGCAGGGCUGCCUUCUAAACUGUCGGGCUAGAGCACGGUAGAGGCAGAUGGAAUUCCCGGUGUAGCGGUGGAAUGCGUAGAGAUCGGGAAGAACAUCAGUGGCGAAGGCGGCUAUCUGGACGGUUUCUGACACUAAGACUCGAAAGCGUGGGGAGCAAACAGG
rnacentral:rRNA from 1 species